rnacentral:rRNA from 1 species
CCACGGAUUCCGUGACGCAGCUAACGCAUUAAGUUCCCCGCCUGGGGAGUACGGCCGCAAGGCUAAAACUCAAAGGAAUUGACGGGGACCCGCACAAGCGGCGGAGCAUGCGGAUUAAUUCGAUGCAACGCGAAGAACCUUACCAAGGCUUGACAUAUACGAGAACGGGCCAGAAAUGGUCAACUCUUUGGACACUCGUAAACAGGUGGUGCAUGGUUGUCGUCAGCUCGUGUCGUGAGAUGUUGGGUUAAGUCCCGCAACGAGCGCAACCCUCGUUCUAUGUUGCCAGCACGUAAUGGUGGGAACUCAUGGGAUACUGCCGGGGUCAACUCGGAGGAAGGUGGGGAUGACGUCAAAUCAUCAUGCCCCUUAUGUCUUGGGCUUCACGCAUGCUACAAUGGCCGGUACAAAGGGCUGCAAUACCGUGAGGUGGAGCGAAUCCCAAAAAGCCGGUCCCAGUUCGGAUUGAGGUCUGCAACUCGACCUCAUGAAGUCGGAGUCGCUA